UUAAGCGACUAAGCGUACACGGUGGAUGCCCUGGCAGUCAGAGGCGAUGAAGGACGUGCUAAUCUGCGAAAAGCGUCGGUAAGGUGAUAUGAACCGUUACAGCCGGCGAUGUCCGAAUGGGGAAACCCAGUGCAAUUCGUUGCACUAUCGUUAACUGAAUACAUAGGUUAACGAGGCGAACCGGGGGAACUGAAACAUCUAAGUACCCCGAGGAAAAGAAAUCAACCGAGAUUCCCCCAGUAGCGGCGAGCGAACGGGGAGCAGCCCAGAGUCUGAAUCAGCUUGUGUGUUAGUGGAACGGUCUGGAAAGUCCGACGGUACAGGGUGAUAGUCCCGUACACCAAAAUGCACAGGCUGUGAACUCGAAGAGUAGGGCGGGACACGUGGUAUCCUGUCUGAAUAUGGGGGGACCAUCCUCCAAGGCUAAAUACUCCUGACUGACCGAUAGUGAACCAGUACCGUGAGGGAAAGGCGAAAAGAACCCCGGCGAGGGGAGUGAAAAAGAACCUGAAACCGUGUACGUACAAGCAGUGGGAGCACCUUCGGGUGUGACUGCGUACCUUUUGUAUAAUGGGUCAGCGACUUAUAUUCUGUAGCAAGGUUAACCGUAUAGGGGAGCCGCAGGGAAACCGAGUCUUAACUGGGCGUUAAGUUGCAGGGUAUAGACCCGAAACCCGGUGAUCUAGCCAUGGGCAGGUUGAAGGUUGGGUAACACUAACUGGAGGACCGAACCGACUAAUGUUGAAAAAUUAGCGGAUGACUUGUGGCUGGGGGUGAAAGGCCAAUCAAACCGGGAGAUAGCUGGUUCUCCCCGAAAGCUAUUUAGGUAGCGCCUCGUGAACUCAUCUUCGGGGGUAGAGCACUGUUUCGGCUAGGGGGUCAUCCCGACUUACCAACCCGAUGCAAACUACGAAUACCGAAGAAUGUUAUCACGGGAGACACACGGCGGGUGCUAACGUCCGUCGUGAAGAGGGAAACAACCCAGACCGCCAGCUAAGGUCCCAAAGUCAUGGUUAAGUGGGAAACGAUGUGGGAAGGCACAGACAGCCAGGAUGUUGGCUUAGAAGCAGCCAUCAUUUAAAGAAAGCGUAAUAGCUCACUGGUCGAGUCGGCCUGCGCGGAAGAUGUAACGGGGCUAAACCAUGCACCGAAGCUGCGGCAGCGACACUAUGUGUUGUUGGGUAGGGGAGCGUUCUGUAAGCCUGCGAAGGUGACCUGUGAGGGUUGCUGGAGGUAUCAGAAGUGCGAAUGCUGACAUAAGUAACGAUAAAGCGGGUGAAAAGCCCGCUCGCCGGAAGACCAAGGGUUCCUGUCCAACGUUAAUCGGGGCAGGGUGAGUCGACCCCUAAGGCGAGGCCGAAAGGCGUAGUCGAUGGGAAACAGGUUAAUAUUCCUGUACUUGGUGUUACUGCGAAGGGGGGACGGAGAAGGCUAUGUUAGCCGGGCGACGGUUGUCCCGGUUUAAGCAUGUAGGCUGGUUGUCCAGGCAAAUCCGGAUAAUCAAGGCUGAGGUGUGAUGACGAGGCACUACGGUGCUGAAGUAACAAAUGCCCUGCUUCCAGGAAAAGCCUCUAAGCAUCAGGUAACAUUAAAUCGUACCCCAAACCGACACAGGUGGUCAGGUAGAGAAUACCAAGGCGCUUGAGAGAACUCGGGUGAAGGAACUAGGCAAAAUGGUGCCGUAACUUCGGGAGAAGGCACGCUGGUGUGUAGGUGAAGUCCCUGCGGAUGGAGCUGAGACCAGUCGAAGAUACCAGCUGGCUGCAACUGUUUAUUAAAAACACAGCACUGUGCAAACACGAAAGUGGACGUAUACGGUGUGACGCCUGCCCGGUGCCGGAAGGUUAAUUGAUGGGGUUAUCCGUAAGGAGAAGCUCUUGAUCGAAGCCCCGGUAAACGGCGGCCGUAACUAUAACGGUCCUAAGGUAGCGAAAUUCCUUGUCGGGUAAGUUCCGACCUGCACGAAUGGCGUAAUGAUGGCCAGGCUGUCUCCACCCGAGACUCAGUGAAAUUGAACUCGCUGUGAAGAUGCAGUGUACCCGCGGCAAGACGGAAAGACCCCGUGAACCUUUACUAUAGCUUGACACUGAACAUUGAGCCUUGAUGUGUAGGAUAGGUGGGAGGCUUUGAAGCGUGGACGCCAGUCUGCGUGGAGCCAACCUUGAAAUACCACCCUUUAAUGUUUGAUGUUCUAACGUUGGCCCCUGACCGGGGUUGCGGACAGUGUCUGGUGGGUAGUUUGACUGGGGCGGUCUCCUCCCAAAGCGUAACGGAGGAGCACGAAGGUUAGCUAAUCCUGGUCGGACAUCAGGAGGUUAGUGCAAUGGCAUAAGCUAGCUUGACUGCGAGCGUGACGGCGCGAGCAGGUGCGAAAGCAGGUCAUAGUGAUCCGGUGGUUCUGAAUGGAAGGGCCAUCGCUCAACGGAUAAAAGGUACUCCGGGGAUAACAGGCUGAUACCGCCCAAGAGUUCAUAUCGACGGCGGUGUUUGGCACCUCGAUGUCGGCUCAUCACAUCCUGGGGCUGAAGUAGGUCCCAAGGGUAUGGCUGUUCGCCAUUUAAAGUGGUACGCGAGCUGGGUUUAGAACGUCGUGAGACAGUUCGGUCCCUAUCUGCCGUGGGCGCUGGAGAAUUGAGGGGGGCUGCUCCUAGUACGAGAGGACCGGAGUGGACGCAUCACUGGUGUUCGGGUUGUCAUGCCAAUGGCACUGCCCGGUAGCUAAAUGCGGAAGAGAUAAGUGCUGAAAGCAUCUAAGCACGAAACUUGCCCCGAGAUGAGUUCUCCCUGAGACUUUAAGUCUCCUGAAGGAACGUUAAAGACGAUGACGUUGAUAGGCCGGGUGUGUAAGCGCAGCGAUGCGUUGAGCUAACCGGUACUAAUGAACCGUGAGGCUUAACCUU
rnacentral:rRNA from 1 species